AGUGAACGCUGGCGGUAGGCCUAACACAUGCAAGUCGAACGGCAGCACAGUAAGAGCUUGCUCUUACGGGUGGCGAGUGGCGGACGGGUGAGGAAUACAUCGGAAUCUACUUUUUCGUGGGGGAUAACGUAGGGAAACUUACGCUAAUACCGCAUACGACCUACGGGUGAAAGCAGGGGAUCUUCGGACCUUGCGCGAUUGAAUGAGCCGAUGUCGGAUUAGCUAGUUGGCGGGGUAAAGGCCCACCAAGGCGACGAUCCGUAGCUGGUCUGAGAGGAUGAUCAGACAAACUGGAAUGGAGAAAGGGUCAAAACUCCUAGGGGGGGCAGAAGGGGGGAAUAUGGGAAAAGGGGGGAAAGCCUAACCAAGCAAUACGGGGGGGGGAAAGAAGGCUUUGGGGUGGAAAAGCCUUUUUGUGGGGAAAAAAAAGAAGCAGGUUAAAACCCCGCUGUUCUGAGGGUACCAAAAAAAAAAGCACCGGCUAACUUCGU
rnacentral:rRNA from 1 species